GUGAUCCUGAGCCUUUCCCGUCGGGAGAGCGCUGCGGCGAGGCUGCCGAGGAGCUGCGCUGAGCCGGGGCUGCGUUACCUUCAGCAGAGGCUCUGUCCAUAAAGCACCCGUGUGCGCCCAGGACAGGAUUUAUGGAUUGAGCCUUCCCGGUUCCUGGAGCGGCUGCUGCCUCCCGGCCGCCGCUGCGGCUGCUGCCGGCGCCGGGCCCGCGGUGCAAGUUCAAGGCCUCUCGGAGCAAUCUUUUCCUAAUAAAGAGCCUAAUCGAAACGCUCCUUCCCCCGCCUCGGCGGGAAGGGCCGCGGAAGAGGCUGCGGAGGUUCAGAGCCGCCGCGGAUCGAUGGAGAGAAGCCCGGAUUGAUCGGCCUCUAAAAUUAAAUUUAUUGGGGUCAUGGUUUUAUAUGGUGCUGAUACAACUGUUAAAUGGGGAACAUUCAUUUCCAAUAGGAGGCGUUUAUUAAACUUCCACUGAAUUAGA